rnacentral:misc_RNA from 1 species
GCAUCAUCAACCUCUUGGUCUUGCGACUGGAGAGGCUUGGACUUGGGGGUUUGCUGGCUUCGCGGUCGGCUCCUCUGGAAUGCAUUAGCGGUCGCUGGGGCGUCCUCGGUGUGAUAAGUAUUUCACCUUGGCGCGUCCUGUCGAGGCGGCUGCUUCCAACCGUCUUCGGACAACACUUUUGACA